UCAGCUGGUGCCAAUAAUUUCCUACAAUUUGGCAUGUACUGGAAAUGUCAUGUGCCAUGCUAGCCUCCCAGAUGGUCUCCACAGGCCUCAUGCAGACACCGUCUGUUAUCAAAUAGCACUUUUUGUGUGAUAUGCCUUUCGGAGAGUCAGUGUUUGGGAAAUCUGGAGAGUUGCAGCUUUUAGGUGGUUGACAUUGAGAGGGUGCCGCAUGCCCUAUCUAAAUCAGUAGGAAAAUGAAGACAGCUGAGUGUGGGAUGCCGUAUAAAAUCACGUAAGGCCGCACGACUUCCUGUUUCCUGAGAAGUCCUGGCUGGGGGUCUGUCCAGAUGAAGGUCUCUAUGGCUUUAGAGUCUGGUCGCUCCUUGCUGCCUUGAUUUGGCCUUGCACUGAGAGCAUCUAUGGUAGAGGCCAGUUCUAAAGAACACUUUCUUGGAGGAGUUAUGGUCACUUUCCAUGCAGGAACUCUCCUCCCGAAGAGUUCAGAUCUUAACAAGCAGCUGGAAGGGAAGUGCUUUCGGGCCGAGGAGACUUGAGUCAAUAUACUGAGGCCAUCUGGAGUGGGGGACUCAGGACGUCAGGGCCCUCUGGGUGACAGUAAGUUGUUCAAUGGACUGGGUGAUGAUCUUGGUUAGCCCAUGUGGGCACAACAGCGAUCUGUAUAUAUUUGCUGAUGAAUUGCACCUGGGAUCAGGUUGCCCUAUGACUUGGAUUCAGACCUCUGCAUAUGAUUUUAUAUACCCUGUACAUGACCGUGGGAUCAAGACAAAGUAGGGGCGCCUGGGUAGCUCCAUUGGUUAAGAAUCUGACUUCAGCUCAGGUCAUGAUCUCCCAGUCUGCGAGUUCCAGUCCUACAAGAUGCUCUCUGCUAUUGAUGGAGUGGAGCCUGCUUCGGAUCCUCUGUCCCCCUCUCUCUGACCCUCCCCCACUGGUGUGUGCAUGCUCUCUCUCAAAAGUAAAUAAACAUUAAAAAUUUUUAAAUAUUUUUUUAGUAAAAAUAAAGAAUAGAGAUAGGUAUCUAAAUGUGCCAGAGAGUAAAUUUGUGCAGAAUCUAAAAUUUAACAUAUUCUCAGGAAAGACAAAGUCCUUUUGUGUGAAGAUACUUUAACUUGUGUGGGCUUUACUAAUUAGUAGAGUCAGUUCCUAAAAAUAAUUCCUAACUAGUAAAGUCAAUUCCUAAAAAUAAUUCUGUGUAUAUCAUAUUUGAGUAAUUAUUGCAGAAGGAAAUUAGAUUCACAUUCUAGGAUUUCAACAACCACUUUCUUAACUGAAAUUUGAUGUCACAUUUUCUGUUCUCUCCCUGAUGUGACUUUUCCACACUUGAAAUAAUCGACUGAUUGAGGUGGUGAAAGGUUGGAUCAUCCUAUCACAGUAUCAUCCUCUUAUAACCAUUUGUCAACAGCUACCUGUGACCCCUUCUUUCCCCCAAGGAGGCAAUUUUACCAUGCAACGCACAAAAAAAGUCUCUUCUGACUUUUGGGAUAUUUCUUAUAUUGUUUAUGAGGAUGGAGCUGUGCCAUUCAAUUGCUUAUUAAAUGUGUAUUUGAAUGUUA